UACGUAGGGUGCGAGCGUUGUCCGGAAUUAUUGGGCGUAAAGAGCUCGUAGGCGGUUUGUCGCGUCUGCUGUGAAAACCCGAGGCUCAACCUCGGGCCUGCAGUGGGUACGGGCAGACUAGAGUGCGGUAGGGGAGAUUGGAAUUCCUGGUGUAGCGGUGGAAUGCGCAGAUAUCAGGAGGAACACCGGUGGCGAAGGCGGCGACCUGGGUAGAUACUGACGCUGAGGUGCGAAAGCGUGGGGAGCAAACGGG
rnacentral:rRNA from 1 species